rnacentral:rRNA from 1 species
AACGAAUGCUGGCGGCAUGCCUAACACAUGCAAGUCGAACGAGACCUUCGGGUCUAGUGGCGUACGGGUGCGUAACGCGUGGGAACCUGCCCUUAGGUUCGGAAUAACUCCCCGAAAGGGGUGCUAAUACCGGAUAAUGUCUUCGGACCAAAGAUUUAUCGCCUUUGGAUGGGCCCGCGUUGGAUUAGCUAGUUGGUAGGGUAAAAGCCUACCAAGGCGACGAUCCAUAGCUGGUCUGAGAGGAUGAUCAGCCACACUGGGACUGAGACACGGCCCAGACUCCUACGGGAGGCAGCAGUGGGGAAUAUUGGACAAUGGGCGAAAGCCUGAUCCAGCAAUGCCGCGUGAGUGAUGAAGGCCUUAGGGUUGUAAAGCUCUUUUACCCGGGAUGAUAAUGACAGUACCGGGAGAAUAAGCUCCGGCUAACUCCGUG